rnacentral:lncRNA from 1 species
AAGAAAAGGAGAGUGUGGCUCAUGGCCCAAGCACACGCUAAUUACCUCUAUCAGCAAGAUCCUUCUAAGCCAAAAAGCCUGGCCCCCCGAGCCACUGUCCCCUCAUCAAGCUGAAGAGUAGAUAAUCACUCAUACUCCUGCAACUCCUUGGCCUGGCCACUGAAGACUGACGGGGCCCAUGGCCCCAGCACCCUCUGCCAUCACUGCAUUGGAGCCCAGGGUAACUCUACUAGAGGCAGUUUUUACAGGACCACAUCAAAACCUUCACCCAUGGAACAGUGCGAGGUAUACUGCUGCUUCAAGCAUACCAGCGGCUUCAAGAACAACCAUCCCAAGCCCCCCAAGCCUUUCCCCUUGCACACCGCCCCUCUACAGCUAGAAGCAGUCAGAUGAUAAAGUCACUCCUCUUCCUUUAUCACCUAUUAAAGGCUGGAAUGUUAGAGAGCCAAGCUACCCCUCCUCCUCCUCCAUGACCUUUGCAAUACGGUCCUUUGUGACCACCUACAAACACCUCCCCACUUUUUCUACAGCCACUUCUGCAAGACUUUCAGUAGAACUGGUAAACAGUUCCAGGAUGUGGUUAAGACAUCUGCCCACCUUGCCUAGCCAAGCUUGCCUAGCCAAGCAGGCAAAAACAUUUCCAGGAAAUGGUUGAAACACCUGCAACUCUACUCAGUUUCCCCCACCCCAACCUAGCACCUUGCCCUAUAAAACCCCACAGCAGCCUGUAAGCGGGGCUACCUCCUCCACAGUGGAGCAGCCCAGCAGGUUAAUAAAAACUUGCUUGCCUGACUUUGGGGUCUCCUUGUUCCUUCUCUUGGCUAACCUUACGCUUACUUUAAGUUUACAUGAGUCCUUGUGUGUUAAAUGAGUCUCCUGAAGGCAGCAGAUGGUUGGUGAGUUCUUACCCAUUCUGCAGUUCUGUGUCUUUUAAGUGAAGCAUUUAGGCCAUU